AUACGAAGGGUGCAAGCGUUAAUCGGAAUUACUGGGCGUAAAGCGCGCGUAGGUGGUUUUGUAAGUUGGAGGUGAAAGCCCCGGGCUCAACCUGGGAAUUGCCUCCAAAACUGCAUGACUAGAGUACGGUAGAGGGUAGUGGAAUUUCCUGUGUAGCGGUGAAAUGCGUAGAUAUAGGAAGGAACGCCAGUGGCGAAGGCGACUACCAGGACUGAUACUAACACGGGGGUGCGAAGGCGUGGGGAGCAAACAGGAUUAGAUACCCUGGUAUUCCACGCCGUAAACGAUGUCAACUAGCCGUUGGGAUCCUUGAGACCUUAGUGGCGCAGCUAACGCAUUAAGUUGACCGCCUGGGGAGUACGGCCGCAAGGUUAAAACUCAAAUG
rnacentral:rRNA from 1 species